ACUAAUAUCAGCCCUAUUACCCACUAACUCAAUUAUUUAACAUCUCAUACAAAACAUUUGACCCUUUUAGUAUAGGUGAUAGAAAAAAAAAUAUAGGCGCCGUAACGAAAGUCCCGUAAGGGAAAAUUGAAAGACAAAUUCAAAGUAACCAACAGCAAAGAUUAAACCUUGUACCUUUUGCAUAAUGGUCUAGCUAGUUUACCCGGACAAAAAGAAUUUUAGCCCGUCCCCCCGAAAUCAAGUGAGCUACUAUAGAACAGCAUAUUAGAGCCAACUCAUCUAUGUAGCAAAAUAGUGAGAAGAUUUUAUAGUAGUGGUGAAAGGCCAACCGAACUUGAAAAUAGCUGGUUAUCCAAUAAACGAAUAUCAGUUCAACUUUAAAUUUAACUAGAUGUCUAAAAACAAUAAUUUAAAUUUAAAAGUAAAUCAAAAGAGGGACAGCUCUUUUGAUCAUGCAUACAAGCAUCACUAGAGGACAAUGAAAACCCCAAUACAUUGUAGGCUUAAAAGCAGCCAUCAAUUAAGAAAGCGUUAAAGCUCAAAACCUAUCUCCCAAUUAAUUCCUAAAAUUCCACAAAAUCCCUAGUCUCUGAUUGGAUGAUUCUAUUUACUCAUAGAAGUCACAAUGCUACAAUUAGUAACAAGAAGUCUCUUCUCCUUGCAUAAGCCUAAAUUAGAAACGGAAAAUCCACUAACAUUUAACAAUAGAAUAAGUACAAUUAUCAAACUAGAAAACUUAUUAAAACAAUUGUUAACCCAACACAGGUAUGCAUAAAGGAAAGAUUAAUAAGAAUAAAAGGAACUCGGCAAACACUAACCCCGCCUGUUUACCAAAAACAUCACCUCUAGCGUACUAAGUAUUAGAGGCAACGCCUGCCCAGUGAAAAUUUUCAACGGCCGCGGUAUCCUGACCGUGCAAAGGUAGCAUAAUCACUUGUCCCUUAAAUGGAGACUUGUAUGAAUGGCAUCACGAGGGUUCAACUGUCUCUUAUUCUUAAUCAGUGAAAUUGACCUUCCCGUGCAGAGGCGGGAAUACCCCUACAAGACGAGAAGACCCUGUGGAGCUUAAGAAUAAUAGACUACCGCUUAAUUACCUAAAACCCCCAUAAGGAACAAACCUUAAAGCACUUAGUCUGCAAUCUUUGGUUGGGGUGACCUCGGAGCAUAAAUAAACCUCCGAAUGAUUUAACCUAGAUCAACUAAUCCAAGUGUGAAUAACCAGUAAUUGACCCAAAUAUUGAUCAACGGACCAAGUUACCCCAGGGAUAACAGCGCAAUCCUAUUUUAGAGCCCAUAUCGACAAUAGGGUUUACGACCUCGAUGUUGGAUCAGGACAUCCAAAUGGUGCAACCGCUAUUAAUGGUUCGUUUGUUCAACGAUUAAAGUCCUACGUGAUCUGAGUUCAGACCGGAGAAAUCCAGGUCGGUUUCUAUCUGUAUAUUCAUUUCUCCUAGUACGAAAGGACAAGAGAAAUAAGGCCAACAUACUAUAUGAGCCUUAGUAAUAAGAUAUGAAAGCAUCUUAAUAUCUUAGUGCAAUAACUUAACGCCCUAGAAAAGAGC
rnacentral:rRNA from 1 species